CAGCACCUCAAGUGGUCAGGAUGAUUAUUGGGCCUAAAGCAUCCGUAGCCUGCUUUGUUAGUUUUCGGUUAAAUCCAUACGCUCAACGAAUGGGCUGCCGGGAAUACUGCAAAGCUAGGGAGUGGGAGAGGUAGACGGUACUCGGUAGGAAGGGGUAAAAUCCUUUGAUCUAUUGAUGACCACCUGUGGCGAAGGCGGUCUACCAGAACACGUCCGACGGUGAGGGAUGAAAGCUGGGGGAGCAAACCGGAUUAGAUACCCGAGUAGUCC
rnacentral:rRNA from 1 species